rnacentral:rRNA from 1 species
GAUGAACGCUGGCGGCGUGCUUAACACAUGCAAGUCGAACGAUGAAGCCCAGCUUGCUGGGUGGAUUAGUGGCGAACGGGUGAGUAACACGUGAGUAACCUGCCCUUAACUCUGGGAUAAGCCUGGGAAACUGGGUCUAAUACCGGAUAGGAGCGUCCACCGCAUGGUGGGUGUUGGAAAGAUUUAUCGGUUUUGGAUGGACUCGCGGCCUAUCAGCUUGUUGGUGAGGUAAUGGCUCACCAAGGCGACGACGGGUAGCCGGCCUGAGAGGGUGACCGGCCAAACGGGAAAUGAGACACGGCCCAAACCCCCAGGGGGGGCAGGAGUGGGGAAUUUUGCAAAAUGGGGGCAACCCUGAUGCAGCGACGCCGGGUGGGGGAUGACGGCCUUCGGGUUGUAAACCUUUUUAAGGAGGGAAGAAGCGAAAGGGACGGUACCGGCAAAAGGAGCACCGGUAAACUACGU